rnacentral:sRNA from 1 species
AGUUUGAAUCUAUCAUACUUCAUGUUGAAAUAGAUCUUAAUGAAUACAAUUUGUUUUUCAAUGUAUGACAAUUAUCCCUCUUAUAACCUAUUACUCAUAUUUGUUUGAUAGUUUCACAAUUUAAUUUGAGAUUUGUUUUUGUAUAAAUAUCAUUCAAAUAUAAAUAGACAUAAUUUCAAAUUAUAUAUUAUCAUAUUUUAGUUUUCUUAGAUUUAUCUUUAUCAUUUUAGAUAUUUAUAAUAGGAAAUAUUGCAUUAAUAAUAAUAAACAUUUAAUUUAUGUGUAUUUUAACUAAUAAAAAAAGUUGAUAAAGUUUUUGAAACUAAUAGAAGUAGUUGAUAGACUUUGACCAAUAAUUAAAUACUUAUGUAAAGAACUACAUUUAUGACUUUUGGGAACUCUGAACUCUGACAGACUUAGUUAAAAGAGCAUGUUAUAUAUAUAUUUUUUUUUAUUGAAAAAGACAUAACAUCAGGAGUAUUUUCACUAUAGACAACUGUUUUGUUUGUAGGUCUAUAAUAGAUUUUUUACAGUAAAGCAUAAGAAUAGAUAUGUUUGAACAAAUAAGAAAGGAAGUGGAAAUUGAGAGACCAAUCAUGUCAAUGUCUCAACAACUAGACUUCAUGUAGUUACACUCUCAACUAGCAAAAAGACUUCUAGUUCGGUUCAAACAUAACUAGAGUGAUCUCAUUCUCUUGUCAUCAACUCUUCCCCUUGUUUGGUAUAUGGCUAAGGAUAUGGAUUGGGAAUUUCUUUUUU